rnacentral:misc_RNA from 1 species
CCGGUAGAAGUCUAGUAAAGUUCAAGUAAAUAAAUACGAAUAUUGUAGAAAUGGGGACAGCUAAAAGAGGUGUCGAUUUUAUUAAAGCUAUAUCGAACAUAAUAUCUAAAUCAACUGGGUUCGAGAGCACUUUGAAAAAGGUUGAAAUAAUCGAUGGAGCUGACGGUAAAUGCACUGCGGAAUUCAAGGUAGCUCCUGAACAUCUCAAUCGUGGUGGAACUUUACAUGGCGGUUUCACAGCUACAAUUGUGGAUAUGGUCACCACGUACGCUUUAAUGUCAAAGCCUUGUAAUCCCGGUGUAUCAGUUGAUUUACAUGUCACUUACUUAAAAGCUGCUAAAGAAGGAGACACAAUACUGGUUUCUGCAAAUACAAUAAGAGCGGGCAAAAAACUAGCUUUUAUUGAAUGCGUUUUAACGCAGAAAAGUGAUGGAGCAAUUGUAGCCAAAGGAGGUCAAACGAAAUUUGUGGAAUCUCUGUAGUACUAAUACUUAACUAAAACGUUUGGAGUCGCUGGAUGGUUAAAUAAAAGUCACUAAUUUUUGUAAUACUUCAAGUUGUACAUUUCAUAAAUUUGUGGCCCUGAAAAAUUUGGACAUUGAUUACGUAAAUUUGUAACUUAUGCAUCAUUUCGUCACCGACGUGCCGCACUUCUGCAGUGAUAACGUUGUUGUUGUUGUACUCAGUAGUAAUUGUUGAGUUGCUGUUUCAAUGGAAAUGAUAACUCACCACCGC